AUUGAACGCUGGCGGCAUGCCUUACACAUGCAAGUCGAACGGCAGCACGGGAGCAAUCCUGGUGGCGAGUGGCGAACGGGUGAGUAAAGUAUCGGAACGUGCCCAGUCGUGGGGGAUAACGUAGCGAAAGUUACGCUAAUACCGCAUACGAUCUAUGGAUGAAAGCGGGGGAUCGCAAGACCCCGCGCGAUUGGAGCGGCCGAUAUCAGAUUAGGUAGUUGGAGGGGUAAAGGCUCACCAAGCCGACGAUCUGUAGCUGGUCUGAGAGGACGACCAGCCACACUGGGACUGAGACACGGCCCAGACUCCUACGGGAGGCAGCAGUGGGGAAUUUUGGACAAUGGGCGAAAGCCUGAUCCAGCCAUGCCGCGUGCAGGAUGAAGGCCUUCGGGUUGUAAACUGCUUCUGUACGGAACGAAAAGGUUUGGCCUAAUAAGCUGAGCUCAUGACGGUACCGUAAGAAUAAGCACCGGCUAACUACGUGCCAGCAGCCGCAGUAA
rnacentral:rRNA from 1 species